rnacentral:rRNA from 1 species
ACGCUGGCGGCAGGCCUAACACAUGCAAGUCGAGCGGUAGCACAGAGAGCUUGCUCUCGGGUGACGAGCGGCGGACGGGUGAGUAAUGUCUGGGAAACUGCCUGAUGGAGGGGGAUAACUACUGGAAACGGUAGCUAAUACCGCAUAAUGUCGCAAGACCAAAGUGGGGGACCUUCGGGCCUCAUGCCAUCAGAUGUGCCCAGAUGGGAUUAGCUAGUAGGUGGGGUAACGGCUCACCUAGGCGACGAUCCCUAGCUGGUCUGAGAGGAUGACCAGCCACACUGGAACUGAGACACGGUCCAGACUCCUACGGGAGGCAGCAGUGGGGAAUAUUGCACAAUGGGCGCAAGCCUGAUGCAGCCAUGCCGCGUGUGUGAAGAAGGCCUUCGGGUUGUAAAGCACUUUCAGCGGGGAGGAAGGCGGUGAGGUUAAUAACCUCAUCGAUUGACGUUACCCGCAGAAGAAGCACCGGCUAACUCCGUGCCAGCAGCCGCGGUAAUACGGAGGGUGCAAGCGUUAAUCGGAAUUACUGGGCGUAAAGCGCACGCAGGCGGUCUGUCAAGUCGGAUGUGAAAUCCCCGGGCUUAACCUGGGAACUGCAUUCGAAACUGGCAGGCUAGAGUCUUGUAGAGGGGGGUAGAAUUCCAGGUGUAGCGGUGAAAUGCGUAGAGAUCUGGAGGAAUACCGGUGGCGAAGGCGGCCCCCUGGACAAAGACUGACGCUCAGGUGCGAAAGCGUGGGGAGCAAACAGGAUUAGAUACCCUGGUAGUCCACGCCGUAAACGAUGUCGAUUUGGAGGUUGUGCCCUUGAGGCGUGGCUUCCGGAGCUAACGCGUUAAAUCGACCGCCUGGGGAGUACGGCCGCAAGGUUAAAACUCAAAUGAAUUGACGGGGGCCCGCACAAGCGGUGGAGCAUGUGGUUUAAUUCGAUGCGACGCGAAGAACCUUACCUGGUCUUGACAUCCACAGAACUUUCCAGAGAUGGAUUGGUGCCUUCGGGAACUGUGAGACAGGUGCUGCAUGGCUGUCGUCAGCUCGUGUUGUGAAAUGUUGGGUUAAGUCCCGCAACGAGCGCAACCCUUAUCCUUUGUUGCCAGCGGUUAGGCCGGGAACUCAAAGGAGACUGCCAGUGAUAAGCUGGAGGAAGGUGGGGAUGACGUCAAGUCACCAUGGCCCUUACGACCAGGGCUACACACGUGCUACAAUGGCAUAUACAAAGAGAAGCGACCUCGCGAGAGCAAGCGGACCUCAUAAAGUAUGUCGUAGUCCGGAUUGGAGUCUGCAACUCGACUCCAUGAAGUCGGAAUCGUUAGUAAUCGUAGAUCAGAAUGCUACGGUGAAUACGUUCCCGGGCCUUGUACACACCGCCCGUCACACCAUGGGAGUGGGUUGCAAAAGAAGUAGGUAGCUUAACCUUCGGGAGGGCGCUUACCACUUUGUGAUUCAUGACUGGGGUGAAG